ACCAACACUCACAACAGCAGUGACAGGAGCCUCACCAGGCCCAUGCUGACCUGCUCUGCUGCGGCUGGGGUACCAUCUUCCUGAAGCUUCUGUGGAAAGCUAUGAGUGGGCACAUGUCCAGCACCUACCCCUUAUACAGCUGCUGCCUAUGCUCAGUGGCUGCUAAGAGAAUCUGCCUCCCAGACUCAAGAGCCAGUGCAGGAAGAAGAUGAGGUUUGAGUCUCCUGCUGUUGGAGUACGGCUUGGGUCAUAUGAGAGGUUACCACAGCAACAGAGAAGUUAUCACAACACAACCAUGGCUAACCAGCCUCGCAGAUCAGGAUGACACGUUUGAGACAAUGAGGAAACAAGAGACUAAAAUUCCGUGUGUCGAUACUCCAUCGUGAAAGAGAAAAUGGGUCCAGCCAGUUCUGACCACACACUCGCCACUAUGCCUGCCACCACCAUUGACACUGUCACUAUUAAAUUUGUAACAGAA